rnacentral:tRNA from 1 species
GUUGCUUUGGCCGAGUGGUUAAGGCGUGUGCUUGCUAAGUACAUGCUUUUUCCCAACAACAGCCCGAAUCUCUCAAGCAAUG